UAUGGGCGCAGGCCUNAACCANCCAGUAGCGUGAAGGAUGACUGCCCUAUGGGUUGUAAACUUCUUUUAUAAAGGAAUAAAGUCNGGUAUGUAUACCCNUUUGCAUGUACUUUAUGAAUAAGGAUCNGCUAACUCCNUGCCNGCAGCCNCNGUAAUACCGAGGAUCCCAGCGUUAUCCNGAUUUAUUGGGUUUAAAGGGAGCNUAGAUGGAUGUUUAAGUCNGUUGUGAAAGUUUGCGGCUCNACCGUAAAAUUGCAGUUGAUACUGGAUAUCUUGAGUGCNGUUGAGGCAGGCNGAAUUCCUGGUGUAGCGGUGAAAUGCUUAGAGAUCAUACAGAACACCGAUUGCGAAGGCAGCUUACCAAACUAUAUCUGACGUUGAGGCACGAAAGCGUGGGGAGCAAACAGGAUUAGAUACCCUGGUAGUCCAAGGGCGAAUUC
rnacentral:rRNA from 1 species